GCCCUCCGACGCCGGAACAAUCGAGAACCUUCUCGGGAGUUCCACCUCUGCUGCUCUAAUCGAUCCCACCACCACUUUCAUGGGAUUUCUCGGAAACUGGGACAUGUUGAGCAUUGACAGACUAAACUAUGCAGGUAAUCCCAACUCCAUUUAUUCACCCACCUCCCCAGAUUUUCCACUGUUUCAUCAAUAAUUUAAGCUGCCUUGUACAUUAUUGGAUGAGGUACGUAUGUGUAAAAUAUUUAUGCCUCAUCCCUUUCAAUUUCACUCUUUUCAAAUCCCUAGCUUGCAUGUAAUAAUCCUGUACCAAUAUAAAAAUAAAAUAUGGUUUUGUUGUACUAAUCUUCAUCAUAAUCAUACCCAAUUAUUCUGGUACCAACUUAUUGAAUUAAUCUUCAACACCAACUUGCUAAUUUUCACAAUGUGUGUUUUUUAGAUUGCUGUGUUAAUGCAGGAAAUUUCAUCUCGUUUGUAUCUCAUAUAUUUUAUCUUACAUAUGAGUGUGAUCAUCAUCAAGUUGUUCAGAUUUUAGGAAUCAAGAAUGUAAAUCUAAUUAAAAUUUUGCAAACGCAAAAUCUACUGUGGCUACACAUUAAACUUCAAUAUGAGUAGUGAAAUAAAGAAUUCAAACUUAUAGAGCCAUUUUAAAAGAUCAUGUUGCAAAAGUAAGUGAGUUGCUUAAAUUCUUUGAGAGCAUAAUUUCAAGCUAUUAUCACAUAUUGUUUGCGGAGAAAUAAAAUUACUAAAAUCAAAAGAAAUGCUUGAUGGAUUAUGAAAUAAUGUGAUGGAAUAUAUAACAAUACUAAUUAUUGCUAUAAGAAAUUCACAAAAAAAAAAAUAUGACUAUAUAUAGAUAAAAAGAAACUCUUGAAAAUGUAGUAUACCUGGAUGAUGAAGCUAUUUCUUCAAAGAUGGAAUUUGAAAAAUCUUUGUUUCGCGCAUUCCUGUAAAUCAGUUUCUCAUUUACGUGAGACGAUUUGGAAUUAAUAUAUAGUUACAUUACAUUGUAUACAUAAAUUACUAGCAAUAAAGUUCAAUUAUUCUGGUGAACAACCGGAAUUCGAGAAUAGUGAAAGCUAUAAUGUAAGUAACUAAAUAUAUGACUGUUGUUAUAAAUAGAUUGGUUGAGGUAGACAAGGGAUUAAUCAUACAUUUCUCUUUUCCAUUAAUUUUGUAAUCUUGGUCUGCCAUGUCUCCUCCAUUAGGUAAAAAACUUCACGUUUAUAUGAAGAAUUUGAAGUUUUGUGUGUGUUGAUUUCCUUAAAAAAUAAAGUUUCCUAUGUAAUUAGGAUAGUUAAUUACAACAUUUUUGUCAAGCCCUUUAAUUAGUUACGGAACUAUAAAUAGAGGAUUAAAAAUGUAUUUCACCCAUUUUUAUGUCUAACAAAUUUUAGAGAACCUUUAUUAUUUUACUUGGGCUGCGAAAUUUGAUUCCUUUAAUUUACACUGAUAUUAAUUAUUUUUCUGUCUUUGUUGUUUUUCCUUAUUUUCUGGAAAUUUUCAUAUGUUCAUAUGAUCUUCAAACCCUGCAGCAUUAGACAUUAACCUUUAACCUAGGAUGUAUCCAGCCACACCCUUAUGAAAACCAUUAGGACAGAGAGAGAGAGAGAGAGAUGGAAAAUUUACUUUUAGUCAUAUAUAUAUAGUUCUGUAAUAGUCCAUUAUAUAAAAGAUAAUGUUGAUUACUUCUUUUAUAUAUCUAGUUGCAUCACAGCAGCAUGAUCAGUAUUCUCCUAGCUAGAUGAUAUAUCUCGUAAACUAAUUAAAUUGAUAUUUUAUAUCUAUUAUGUUUAUACACGUAUACAUAUAAGUAUAUUUUAAUAAAAAAGAAGUGUUUUACUGAAGGAUUGUUGGAGUAAUAACUUAUGGGAAAAAAAGAAAUUAAUUAAUUAAGAAAUGUACAAAUAUGAAGAAUUAAAUAAUAAAAGAAAGAAAUAACUUAAUGAAUUUAAAGUUAUGAUGACAAUAUUGAACGCUUCAAUUUAAAUUUGGGAAGUUUCGUGAUGUACGUUAUUUUGCUGAAAAAAGACCCUUACUAAAUACUAAUAAAUCAGGAGUUGGUUCAUUAGUUGUAUCCUUUAUUUCAGCAUAUAAUAAACACACAACUACCUUUUUUUAGCUAGAGAGUAAAGGUAGUAGUAUUAUUAUUCUAGAUUAGAAUAAUAUUUAGGAGUCAAUAUGAAAAUUCCAACUUAUAAAUCUGAAGAUAAAACAGCAAAACUAGCUAAGCUAUAAGAUGAUCCAUAUCCCGUCGAACACUAUAAUUAUCAAAAACACAAAAUCUGUGAGUUAGCUAGUAUGAGUUGCUAAGUUAAAUUAGUUCAUGGAUUGACGAGUAAGUUAAUGACUAAAAAACUAUGAGUUCGAGUUUAUCAAAAUCUUCAAGGCCAAGUCUGUUUUGCCAUCUUCAAUUUGCCUCUCAUAUAUAUUUAUUGAUAGAAUUUGCCUAAAGCACAUCUAUGAAUGUAAUGGUUGAUAAUUUCUACAUCGGGUGAUAAUAAUAAUAAUAAUAAUAAUAAUAAUAAUAAUAAUAAUAAUAAUAAUAAUAAUAAUAAUAAUAAUAAUAAUAAUAAUAAUAAUAAUAAUAAUAAUAAUAAUAAUAAAUUGUCAAGAGCUGUAUUAGAAACAUCGGAAAUCCAGCCAUAAAAGAAGGAAAAUCAUACUUGUACUAAAAAUGGGUAGAUUUUUACAUGAAUGCAGGAUUUGUAAUAUGUAAAUGAAUACAAGAAAGUUGGCCCAAAACACAGCCGUUUUGAAAUAAACAUUUAAGAAUCAUCAAUAGCUCUGAAGGUUUUAAAGUUUCAACUAGCUAGGGAUAUAUUUCUGAUAUUCAACCUUAAAAAAAAAUAGUAUAAGUUAAUUCCAUGUGUAUUAAGAUGAAUAGUAACUUUGAGAUAUUUGAACGACUUCAUAAUUUUUAUCAUUUUAGCUAAUUUUGUUAGACAAUUACUAUUUUGGCUUACUAUAUAUACACUUGCUAUGCGCUUAUCAAAAUUCAAAUGUCUUAGCUAUGGAGUGUUUGGACGGACGACUUGAAAGUUAAUUCCAUCCAUUAGUAAUUUUCUAAUUCUGAGUGAAAUUUUGCAAAAAGUUUCGUUAAUGGUCACAAUUAAUUGUGAUAAUUAAAAAUAAUCCAGGCUUUUAGCUUUUUUUAUAUAUAUAAAUCAUAACUUUUUAAAAGAUGUAUAUUAGAAUAAAUGAAAAUAAAUACAUAAUUUUAAAAAUCGUGUGAAGAUGAACUCAACCUGAGACCUUUAACCUUAGACACUAUAUAAUCACUCUACUAUUAAGUCAAAACAUACCCACAUACAUGAAUUUUCUAGUAUUAUAAAUUUACGUAACGUUUGUAUAGUAUGUAUCAAUAAAAAUAUUUUUUAUUGUUGCAUUGUGAUAAAGUAUGUGAGAGUGCAGCGUGUAUUGUGCAUUUAUAUAAUUUUAUGUGUGUCAUGUCUCACUCUUAUAUCUAUUAAUUUAAUAAUAUUUUUUAUGAAAAUAAAAAUUAUUAUAAUGUUGCGAUUUAUACUUAAUUUUUAUUUGAAAAAAUUAAAAUUUUAAAAAAGUUAUAUACCAUAACUGUGAAUUUAUCAACAUAUUAUUAACUAUAAAAGUGAAAGUAUAUAAAUAAUAAACAAUAAGGGGCCGUUUGAUUUGCAGUUUAUGAUUGAUUAGGAUUAAAAUUAUCUUGAGAAAUUAGUGUGGAUUAGUGUGGAUUUAUAUUAUUUCAUGGGUGUUUGAUAUCAUGGCUACUUAAUCCUAUAUUAUGUUUGAUAUCCAUAGAAUUAUGUUGGAUUAUAUUAUCUAAUACCAAAAUUAUCCUCACAUAAUUUUAAAAAUAUCAUGUGUGUCCACCAUUACUUGGGCAUUUGCAUCGAUAUGCGUGAGGAAGGGUAGCAGAAUUUUUAUCCAACUUCUCAGUAUUAAAUUUAUCCGAGGGAGGUGGGCGGAUUAUUAGUAUGGGUUAAUCCCACAAAAUAGCAUGGAGAAGUAGGAUUAAGUAGGAGUUGACCAUAUUAAAUGCACAUGAUAUCAAACAUCACACUAAUCUGUAUUAAUUUAAUUUAUCCUACCUAUAAACCCAUAUCAAACAGGCCCUAAUUGUAUACCCUAACUAGAUGGAAUAAACCCUAAUUAAUAAUCACAAAAUUAAAUUAAAGUAUACAAAGUUGAAAUUAGAAAAAAAAAAUAUAAGAAAUAAAUAAAAUUAAAAGUGGGACGUCACAAAGUAGGAUACAGCGAUCAAUCUCAAUCCGUGUAAUACGUGCGUGCGGUCCGAGUAAAUUAAUACCAUGAACCGUAGUUUGUUUUUAUCAAAGAAUUUAGCUAUAUAUUUGCAAAUCUUGAGUCCAAACACAUUGGUGCAGAAAAUUAGCUUCGAUGUGUAAGGAUUAUCGACGAUGUUGAUGAAAGUUUUCAAAAUUUUAUAAUUAUAAUAAAUGCAGUCAACGGAGAGACAAAAUGAUUGUGGGAGAAAACAACAAGGCAUUAGACAUUCUAGUAUCGAUCCGACAGUCUUAGCUUGUGCUGCAGUCAUUUUGCUUACAUACCUCAUCUAUAUGUAUCUCACUGCAAAAAUCCAGAUUUGUAUUUCCCUUCCACUCUCACUGCAAAAUGAUACCUUAAAUAAGACACACG
rnacentral:lncRNA from 1 species